rnacentral:rRNA from 1 species
AACGAACGCUGGCGGCAUGCCUAACACAUGCAAGUCGAACGAGAUCUUCGGGUCUAGUGGCGCACGGGUGCGUAACGCGUGGGAAUCUGCCCUUUGGUUCGGAAUAACAGUUGGAAACGACUGCUAAUACCGGAUGAUGACGAAAGUCCAAAGAUUUAUCGCCAGAGGAUGAGCCCGCGUAGGAUUAGCUAGUUGGUGUGGUAAAGGCGCACCAAGGCGACGAUCCUUAGCUGGUCUGAGAGGAUGAUCAGCCACACUGGGACUGAGACACGGCCCAGACUCCUACGGGAGGCAGCAGUGGGGAAUAUUGGACAAUGGGCGAAAGCCCGAUCCAGCAAUGCCGCGUGAGUGAUGAAGGCCUUAGGGUUGUAAAGCACUUUUACCCGGGAUGAUAAUGACAGUACCGGGAGAAUAAGCUCCGGCUAACUCCGUGCCAGCAGCCGCAGUAA